UUUCACAAUGGAAGAACAAAUGAUGAGAACCAGCGGGGGACAGUUAUCAUCUCUGUAGAGCAUUGACCUCAGCAUCCCAGGCAGAUCCCACAAAGGGCAGAGAUCCAAGAUAGAAGAGAUCUACCUGAAUCCAACUCCCAACUCCCAGUCCAGCUCAUAACUCAUCUGGGGGAUGGCCAAGAAAUGCUGCAGCUUUCGUGCUAAGUUCUUUUUCUGGAUGACCAGCUCCAUCUCAUUCUGCUGGGACUGCAGGUUUUCCUCCACUCUCUGCUGCUCCUGUUCAUUAGAAGAUGGUGUUCUUAAUAGAGGUUUGAGAACAGGCAUGAAUACACUCUCAAACAGUACAAGCACACAAGGUGGAUCCCAAGAGCUUGAUGGUCUCCAGUCUCACCAAAACACAAAGCUUCUGGGAAGGAAGAAAAGAGACUGGUCUCUUCAAGCCAUCAUUCACACGCACGGUACACCCCUCUCUUACCCCCACACUCUCUUCCAAAACACACUCCAACACACACACACAGAGUGAGACAGAGACCGAGAGAGACAUAGACAGAGGAACAUAAAUUUGAGGAUAUAGCAUACUAGAUGAUCAUGUAAGUUGGGACUAAGCACAGCAGCUCUUUCAGAAGAAUUCAAUGACUCUGCUCUCCAUCCCUCAGAACUAAUAUUGCAUAGGGGAAUAUGGUCUACUUGGCCAGACUAUGCUGAGCUGGUUGAGUGACUUUUUGUCUAGAAGCCUCAGAUCUCCCACAUAAACUUUCAGCCUGUCACAAGCCACUUCCACAUGCCUGGUCAACCCAUCAGGACCAUGUUGAAAGCUCCAUGAUGGGAGAACUUGCCAAGGAAACACUUCUGGCAAAUUCUCACUGAGGUUUCUGUCAGUGUGAAGCAGGAGUUGAGAAUGGUGAA